AUUGAACGCUGGCGGCAGGCUUAACACAUGCAAGUCGAGCGGAGAUGAGGUGCUUGCACCUUAUCUUAGCGGCGGACGGGUGAGUAAUGCUUAGGAAUCUGCCUAUUAGUGGGGGACAACAUUCCGAAAGGAAUGCUAAUACCGCAUACGUCCUACGGGAGAAAGCAGGGGAUCUUCGGACCUUGCGCUAAUAGAUGAGCCUAAGUCGGAUUAGCUAGUUGGUGGGGUAAAGGCCUACCAAGGCGACGAUCUGUAGCGGGUCUGAGAGGAUGAUCCGCCACACGGGGACUGAGACACGGCCCAGACUCCUACGGGAGGCAGCAGUGGGGAAUAUUGGACAAUGGGGGGAACCCUGAUCCAGCCAUGCCGCGUGUGUGAAGAAGGCCUUAUGGUUGUAAAGCACUUUAAGCGAGGAGGAGGCUACUGAGACUAAUACCCUUGGAAAGUGGACGUUACUCGCAGAAUAAGCACCGGCUAACUCUGUGCCAGCCGCCGCCGUAA
rnacentral:rRNA from 1 species